rnacentral:misc_RNA from 1 species
GAUGAAGAACGUAGCGAAAUGCGAUAAGUAAUGUGAAUUGCAGAAUUCAGUGAAUCAUCGAAUCUUUGAACGCAUCUUGCGCUCCUUGGUAUUCCGAGGAGCAUGCCUGUUUGAGUGUCAUUAAAUUCUCAACUACACUGAUUUUUUUUGGUUGGUGUAGAUUGGAUUUGGGGGAAUUUUUUGCGGGCUUUGUAAAAUGAAGUCGGCUCCCCUGAAAUUAAUUAGUGGUACCUUAGUAGAACUGUCUACAGGUGUGAUAAUUUAUCUACGCCUAAGAUGUCUGCAUGAAAAAGGUUAUGCUGCUUCUUAACCUCACUAAUGAUAAUCUUGACCUCAAAUCAGGUAGGACUACCCGCUGAACUUAAGCAUAUCAAUAAGCGGAGGA